GUGAAAUCAGUGCCGGACGAUUCCAGUUCAUUGUAUGUGCCGCGACCCUGAAUGGCGCCUUUUUUAAGCACAAGAAUCAGGUCGGCAUCUUUCAAAAACUGAAUCUGAUGUGUGACCAGGAUCACCAGCUUGGACUUCAGGUUUUAGAGGCGCUUACCUUUCCACUCCCGACGGAUCCAACAAUGGCCACUAUCUCCCCAGCUUUGACUGAAAAUGAAACGUCAUCGAGUGUGGGAUCAGCAGCCGUUUCGGUCCACGCGGCACUUAAUCCACAUAUAUCCAAAGAAAUCGGCUUGGUUUUUGACGAGGACUCUUCGUGGACACAUGCCAUACAUGUGGUGUCCCGUUCCUCCAUCAACAAAAAUUUCUGUGGAGUCCAGACAGUGAUAUCACCUCCAAACAGCGAAUCAAAAAGUUGAUGGCUUGUACCUAAAUUCUUCCAAUGGACACCAAUGCUUCAGACCCCAUUGAAAUGGCAAAGGGAACAAAAAGCGUCAUCGAUAAACGAACGGUGUUGUACAAAGACAAGGUGAGAAACACCUUUUCGGCAUUGAUGAUUUGACCCGUCAGGACGUAAGGAAUAAGGAUGGCCAACAGGAUGACCUUGGAUGCGACGAAAAAGAAACUAAAGUUAAAUCCACGGAAAUAAGCUGUUCGCCGAAUCACGUCCAUUUCAGAUCUGGAAUUGAUUGAUGUGGUCAAGAAAUGUUCCUAAUCAUUGGGAUAAUCACUUCGUAUUCAUACUCUCUGGCCGCCUCGAUGAGUUUCGUAAACGAGAACUCCCACGCAUACAUUUUGAUCACUUUGAUACCAUUAAUGAUUUCGCUCAUGAUUCGAAUCCGCGUAUCCGUUUUUUUGGCAGUCUCCAAUCUCAACUUGGAGAACAUCCGUCCAAUCCAACCUAUCAAUGUUAAAGUGCGUUGAUUGUAGAGAUUCAUUAGAGAGAUUACUAACAUCCCUUUCGUUGCACUCACUUUGUAACGGAACAGAAAUUAGGACAAUCCCUGCUCCAGCCAUGGUCGAAGCGCCCAUCUCGUUCCAAGUCAAGUAGACCACAAUGAGCAAUUGAAUUGGACCGGCCCAGAGGUAAUGGAUGAACAGGCAAGCUCCAUCAAACCGAUUGACGUCAUUGGCUAAGAGGUUGACCAUUUGGCCCACGGUACUCUUACCCAAGGCUGCCGAGCUCAGUUUUAAGGCCUGAAAUAAGAUUCCAAAUUCAGACGGACUAGCUUUCAAGUCCUUGCGAAAGUUCCGAAAUACACCUCAUAUGAAAAACGGCAUCUUUGGGGCCUUUUUCGAUUUUG